AACCCCUCUUAUUGCAAUCACGCCCCUUCUCCCCACUUUCGCUGUGGCAUAUUGGACCGCAUGCGGAAUCUCCCAAAUACAACAACUACUAGAUGGCCAAACCAUACACUCAUUCCUAUACCUCCAAACUAAAUUUGGACUGCCCAAAUCUGCCUUUCUCUCCUAUCUCCAGAUUAAAUCUUGGCUCACAAGGCAUUUGCCCAUAACAGCUACAGAAACACACAAAACAACAAACUCCUAUAUACCUCAAAUCGUGGAACUUUGCACUAAAAAGCGAAACCCCACGAAAAUCAUUUCUUCGCUAUAUGCACUCAUUACAAAACAACCUCAUACAGGGAAACCCUCCUUUGCCAGGGCAUGGGAAUCAGACUUCAGGGAAACACUAGACCAAACACAGUGGUCCAAAAUCUACAUAGCUAACAAGACACUUACCCUGUGCGCUACUCAUAUAGAAUUAACCAGGAAGAUCCUCUACCGAUGGUAUAUGGUGCCUACGAGGCUCAAACACAUGGACCCUAACAGGUCAGAUCUAUGCUGGAGAUGCAAAUCAGAACCGGGCACUAUGUACCACAUAUGGUGGACAUGUCAAAAAAUUACAAAGUUCUGG